rnacentral:rRNA from 1 species
AGAGUGAACGCUGGCGGUAGGCCUAACACAUGCAAGUCGAACGGCAGCACAGUGGUAGCAAUACCAUGGGUGGCGAGUGGCGGACGGGUGAGGAAUACAUCGGAAUCUACCUUUUCGUGGGGGAUAACGUAGGGAAACUUACGCUAAUACCGCAUACGCCCUUCGGGGGAAAGCCGGGGAUCGCAAGACCUGGCGCGGAUAGAUGAGCCGAUGUCGGAUUAGCUAGUUGGUGAGGUAAUGGCUCACCAAGGCGACGAUCCGUAGCUGGUCUGAGAGGAUGAUCAGCCACACUGGAACUGAGACACGGUCCAGACUCCUACGGGAGGCAGCAGUGGGGAAUAUUGGACAAUGGGCGCAAGCCUGAUCCAGCCAUACCGCGUGGGUGAAGAAGGCCUUCGGUGUAAAGCCCUUUUGUGGAAAGAAAGCAAUCGGUUAAUACCCGGUUGUUCUGACGGUACCCAAAGAUAACGCAACCGCUAACUUCGUGCCAGCAGCCGCGGUAAUC